CAAUGCCCUAAUUUCAGAAACCUCUAUAAAUAACCCAACGGUCUUCUUCCCUCCUAUGCUUUGUUGGCGGCUGAAAUUAGGGUUGUGAACUGCUCCAAAAUUCUAACUUCAAAGGUUUCUUACAAAUGCCGUGAGGAGCUAUUGCAUUCAGGAAGCCCUCAUUCUCAUUGUAAAGAAAUCAAAUCAAAGAGAGCACCGGUUUUGUUCACAACUUUGGGAUUUUUGGGGUCAUUCAUAGGAAAUUGGUUGCGUAUAAUUUUUCAUUUUAUUGUAAUUAGGCUCGUACUCAGCUGAGUUGUUUUGACUCUAUUAGUGAUGGAUAUGAAAUGGAAGUGUUUUAUUUUAAACUUGUCAAUAUUUUCUCUUUUUCUCAACGUUAGCAACUUAGCAGCUUCAAAAGUUUUAUGUGGAGUUAGAAACAUGGCAAUACCACUCUGAAUUUUGUUUACCACUUGUUGAUCUCUUCUUUCUUAGCUUUCUUAGCAAUGCAAUACUAGAUGGAAAAUUUGUUUCAA